GACGAACGCUGGCGGCGUGCUUAACACAUGCAAGUCGAACGGAAAGGCCCUGCUUGCAGGGUACUCGCGUGGCGAACGGGUGUGUAAAACGCGGGUGUUCUGCCCUGCACUUCGGGAUAAGCCUGGGAAACUGGGUCUAAUAUCGGAUAGGAGACCUUCUUCGUGUGGUGGUUGGAAAGUUUUUUCAGUUUAGGAUGGGCUUGCGGCCUAUCAGCUUGGUGGUGGGGUAAUGGCCUACCAACGAGGCGUCGGGUAGGCGGCCUGGGAGGGUGGACGGGCACAAUGGGACUGGGAUUCGGGCCAGGCUCCCUAGGGGGGCAAGAAGUGGGGAAUAUGCACAAUGGGGGGAAGCCUGGAGCAGGGACGGCGGGGGGGGGAUUACGGGCUUCGGGUUGUAAACUCCUUUCGGUAGGGGAGAAGCUGUUUGUGACGGUACCUAGAUAAGAAGCACCGGCUAACUACGUG
rnacentral:rRNA from 1 species